ensembl:snRNA U6 U6 spliceosomal RNA
GUGUGCUCAGCAUCACGAUACUAAAACUGGCACAAUACAGACCAGAUUAGCGCUGCCCCUGCACGAGGAUCAGGUGCAAAUUCAUGAAGCAUUCCAUAUUUAA